AAUUUCUGCCAUUCUCUGACUGAGUGCUUUCUGACCUGGGACUCUCAUAUUCUGGCACUAUCUCUUGUUGCAUUUUGG